UACGUAGGGUGCGAGCGUUGUCCGGAAUUAUUGGGCGUAAAGGGCGCGUAGGCGGCCUGGCAAGUGGAAGGUGAAAUCCCUCGGCUUAACCGAGGAACUGCCCUCCAAACUGCUUGGCUUGAGUCCGGGAGAGGUGAGUGGAAUUCCCAGUGUAGCGGUGAAAUGCGUAGAUAUUGGGAGGAACACCAGUGGCGAAGGCGGCUCACUGGACCGGAACUGACGCUGAGGCGCGAAAAGCGUGGGGGAGCAAACGGG
rnacentral:rRNA from 1 species